AUGGCUUGUUGAUUUUAAAACAAUGUUUUAGCCUCAUCACUGUAAUUUUUAUUAGGUGUGUGAUUUUCUGUCAUGUCCAAUAUGUUAUUUAAUAAUAAAAGUUUUAAAAAAUUCCUGAAUAGCACGAUUUAUUUUUUUUCUGAUUAUGAAAUACGCUGAAGUUUAGAAAAAUGUGGUCACUGAUUUUAGUGACCACACUACAACCUAAUUUUACAUUUCUUUGGUCAUUUUAGGAACCAUGUAGUUUUUCUCCAACUGAAAUGUCUACCCAGGAUUUGAAAUUUGAACUGUAGGGACUUCUAUAUUCCUGAAACCAGUUAGGGCCUCAAUCAUACAAUCCAGUCAAGUUCUUACUCAUGCAUAAGCUCCCCAAGGGCAGGGGUUUUACCUCUGUUGUUCUCAAGAGCCUAAUGCAGUGUCAGGCACAUAGUAAUGCAGGAUCAAGCGUGCUUAUGUAAUUUUAAAACACAGUCCCUCAGUUCUUUUGCUCCGGAGUCCAAAUAAUAACAAUACUAGAAACACAGAGUGAAACAGGAAUAACAUUUGUCUCAGCAAAAUGACAUGUAUAUAGUUCUCAGAAAACUAGCUGUAUCUUCUUGUUUUUAUAACUGUAAGAUUAUUAAAUAAACUUCCGGACUGAGUGUUUAAGAUGGUGUUUCCUAUGCACAUAACUGGAUGGAUAAUCAGAAAUUCUGAGAGAUGAAGCUCUCAUUUUGAGGAAAUGCAAAACAAUGGAAUACAUUUUAUUACUUUGCAUUUAAAUCAUGGGGGCAUUGAAUACUUAGAAGUGUGUUCUAGCUAUUCCUGUCCUCUUUCUUAGUAGGCAGUUAUUUUCACUGACAGGUGAGAACGUUUUACCUGUUUUUGUUUGAUAGAUGUGAGCUCUUAGGGCCUGCUUUUUCCUUCCAUGUGCCCUCUCCCCUUCUUCUUCCCAAGUAAGUUGUUGAAACAGGACUAUUUUGAGGUAAAGUGAGGAAGAAGAGAAGUACACUCUCUGCUGGCUCUCUCUAAACCAAACGGAAAGAUCAAAGUUAGGGUCAGAGCUAAUAUCAUCAACUUAUAAAAGAACCUACUCAUCAUGUCUAACUUUCUUUGACAGUACCUACAAAGGCUUCUGUAUCCAAGGAUGAUUUUAUUGUCAAUAUGCAAUCAGGCAGGUCAAUGUUCAUUUCAUUUGUGAAGAAAACCACAUCAAGCAAAUUUCAUUAUAAAACCUAAAAAUCAAUAUACAUUCAUGCCAGUGUUCUCUAAAUAAUGAUUGUGAGUUCUCCUUUACCCUGAAAUAACAUUUUUUAAGGAUUGGAUUUUUACUAAAAGAAGAAAGAAGCCAUGCUUUUUCCUUGGACAGUAUUUGUACUGGAUAUUAAGACAGUGAUAUUAAGAAUGACUUUUGGAGUCCAUUUUCUUUUAAAUGUGUUUAUAGGUCCCUUAUGGUGCCUACAUACGUUGACACUGACCAGAGUGAGAAAAUACACUGACGUGUCAACUGGUAAGUAUCAGAGUAAUGAUGAAAAUCAUAGCUAAUAGUGGUUCAAUAUGCACUAUUUAUGGACCGUAUGGUGAGAAUUUUCAUUUGAUUUUUGUAUUUAAUCUUUAUAACCAUCCUUGUCAGGAGUCCAUAGUUUGUGUAGGCUAAAUGCUAUCAGCUACAACCACCACAGAUUAGAUGUUUUUAUUUCACCCAACAGUUUAAUACACAGGUGUCCUUCCAGUUGUGGCCCACCCUUUCACAGAGCUUCCAAAUCCUAUGCUGGAUUCCCUUUUCCCUCUGACGUAAGAAGGGAGAAAGAAAGUGAGGAGAGCAAGAGUGAUUUUACAUGGAAAGGCAUGUGUCCUUUUUUCCACAUUCCAUUGGGGAGAAUUCAGUCCUGUGGCCACACCUAAUUGCAAGGGUGUCUGGGAAAUGCAAUCCACCAGGGACUUACAAGGCUGAAAUUUUCACUUUCUCUCUAUGAAGGAUCCUCCACUAAACCUUGUUGUAGUGCCACUGAUAAGGCUAAAACUCUAAAACAGAAGUCAUGAGUACACCCAACUGGGGCACAUUGGAGGAAGCAGCAGGCAUUCCCUGGGUUCACUUUUCUUCCUGUAGAGACAAUAGGGAGGAAAUGAUAGAGACUUCACCGUCAGGUCUCUCAGGUCUCUUUUUGGAAAACUCUUCCAUCCUUCUGGGUUGCAUCAUCCAGCCCCCGAAGAGCUGCUUAGGAAGCUGCAUUCCACAUGUGCUGUGGUGAUCCAUCUAAAUAUGAAAAUAACAGGGGGCAGCAGAGGUUUUUGGGAUGUGGCAGGUGGUCCUCAGGAGGCUAAAUCUAGUAUGCUUGCCAUCAACCUUGUAGACCGAGGUGGAACAAAGUGGCAGAGUGUCCAGUAGUAGGGGAGGCAGAAUAAACUUUGGGGAGGUGUGUGUGAUGUCACGGGUGCAGUUGAUCAUAGUUAGGACCCUAGGUCCUGGCACACUCAAGUCCUUACUGGGCCCAUGAAUAUGUUAGCUUUCUUUUCCUUUCCCCAUCCCCAUAUGUGACUAAAUACUACUCUUUUAUUUAGAGCCUCAACUUUGUUUCCUCCUCUUGCCCCAUCUUUCUUUUCAUUGCUUCCUUAUCAUCUCUUCAUUCUCUGUUUAAAUGGCCCUACUUCCUUUACUCCAUCCAAAGCUCCUUGGAAGCAAGGGGGUUUUAUUAUUAUUAACUGUUUUUUACCCCAAAGUAAACACAUAGUAGAAAAGCAAGUAGGAAUGAAUUGAUGAAUGAUAAUGACAACUCAUAUUUAUUAACAUUUGCCAUAUUAUAAGCAGUAUAUCAAUUUCCCUAAUAAUUGGAUUUUCAGAGCAUUAUUAAGGUAGUAUCUGUUGCUUUAAUUCUUUUUCUGUCAGUUCUAAGAAUAUUAUGCACUCAUAGGAAUGUGUAAUUUUAUGCCAGUCUACACUCCAUAUAGAUUUUGUCUUUUCUUAUGUCAUAUAUAUCGUUUUCCCAGAUGAAUUACAAUCAAUUCUUAUUUUUAAUUCCCAUAUUAAAGGCAUUCCAAACCAAAUGUUUUUAACAACUACCACUCAAGAGGAGUUUAAAGAACAACUUAGCUAAUUCUUCUUAUUGAAUUUAAAAUUUGUUUUUACUUUGUUGUCAGUUAAAAAUAUUGAGACAAGUUUGAGGCAUUUUGAUUUAUAAGCAGAGUAUGUACUUGGUCAUUCAAAUCAUCAAAUAUACGCUUUGCUUUUCCCAUAUAUAUUUAGUCUUCAUCCCUGGUUCCUGAGUUACAGCUGCCAAAAGUCUUGGAAUGUCCUAAGUACUAAGCGUGACCAAGGUGUAUCUUGCCAGGUUAAUGAGGUUAAUUUUCAAUGAGGUUUGGUUGGCCAGAGAACCAACCCUGUAAUCAGAGGGUCAGAACUCUCCAUCCCACCCCCUGACCUCUGGGGAGGGGAGGGACACUGGAGGUUGAAUCAUUUGCCAGUGGCCAGUGAUUUAGUCAAUAAUGACUAUAUAAUGAAGCCUCUGCAAAAACCCAGGAGACCAGGGUUUGGAGAGUUUCUGGGCUGUUGAACAUCCGGAGGGUUUGUGAAAAACAGUGUUCCUGGAGGACAUGGAAGCUCUGUGCCCUUUCCCCAAUGCACCCCUGGCAUCCUAUGGUUCUUGAGUUUUAGUCUGGUAAGUAAAAUGUUUCUCUGAGUUCUCUUCUCUGAGUUCCAGUAAAUUAAUCAAACCUGAACAGGGAGUUGUGGGGAAUUCUAAUGUGUACUUCUAAGAAAGUUGUGCAGGGUUGUGUAGGUAACAACCAGGGCUUACACUUAGCAUCCUGAGUUGGAGGGGGUCUUGGAACCUCCAAUUUGUAGCCUGUUGGUCAGAAGCACGGGGAACAACCUGGGUUUGUGACUGGCAUCUGAAAUACAGAAGGAGGCAGUCCUGUAGGACUGAUCUCUUAAUCUGUGGAGCCCAAUGCUGCAUCUGGGUACAUAGUGUCAGAAUUGAGUUGUAGAAUUCCCGUCAUGGCUGAGUAGAAACGAACUGACUAGUAACCAUGGGAAUGCGGGUUCGAUCCCUGGCCUCCAUCAGUGGGUUAAGGAUCCAGUGUUGCUGUGAGCUGUGGUAUAGAUUGCAGACACAGCUUGGAUCUGGUGUUUCUAUGUCUGUGGUAUAUGUCAGCAGCUGUAGGUCCAGUUCAACCCCUCGCCUGGGAACCUCUGUAUGCUGCAGGUGCAGCC
rnacentral:lncRNA from 1 species